rnacentral:rRNA from 1 species
GAUGAACGCUGGCGGCGUGCCUAAUACAUGCAAGUCGAGCGAACAGACGAGGAGCUUGCUCCUCUGACGUUAGCGGCGGACGGGUGAGUAACACGUGGAUAACCUACCUAUAAGACUGGGAUAACUUCGGGAAACCGGAGCUAAUACCGGAUAAUAUAUUGAACCGCAUGGUUCAAUAGUGAAAGACGGUUUUGCUGGCACUUAUAGAUGGAUCCGCGCCGCAUUAGCUAGUUGGUAAGGUAAAGGCUUACCAAGGCGACUAUGCGUAGCCGACCUGAGAGGGUGAUCGGCCACACUGGAACUUAGACACGGUCCAGACUCCUACGGGAGGCAGCAGUAUGGAAUCUUCCGCAAAGGGCGAAAGCCUGACGGAGCAACGCCGCGUGAGUGAUGAAGGUCUUCGGAUCGUAAAACUCUGUUAUUAGGGAAGAACAAAUGUGUAAGUAACUAUGCACGUCUUGACGGUACCUAAUCAGAAAGCCACGGCUAACUACGUG